rnacentral:pre_miRNA from 1 species
CUGAAUGUGAAUUGAUUUAUGUUUGGAUAUACUAACCGAAAAGUGAUUCUUAUGAUUGAUGUUGUUUGGAUAG